rnacentral:rRNA from 1 species
GCUGAAUGUGGGGAUAAUUUAUCUCCGUGUUGAAGCUAACGCGUUAGCACUCCGCCUGGGGACUACGGUCGCAAGACUAAAACUCAAAGGAAUUGACGGGGACCCGCACAAGCGGUGGAGCAUGUGGUUUAAUUCGAUGCAACGCGAAAAACCUUACCACUCCUUGACAUGGAGAUUAGAUCCUUCUUAACGGAAGGGCGCAGUUCGGCUGGGUCUCGCACAGGUGCUGCAUGGCUGUCGUCAGCUCGUGUCGUGAGAUGUUGGGUUAAGUCCCGCAACGAGCGUAACCCUCAUCCUUAGUUGCCAGCGGAUAAUGCCGGGUACUUUAAGGAAACUGCCGGUGGUAAACCGGAGGAAGGUGGGGAUGAUGUCAAGUCAGCACGGCCCUUAUGGGGUGGGCUACACACGUGCUACAAUGGUGACUACAAUAGGUUGCAACGCCGCAAGGCUGAGCUAAUCCAUAAAAGUCAUCUCAGUUCGGAUUGUCCUCUGUAACUCGAGGGCAUGAAGUCGGAAUCGCUAGUAAUCGUGGAUCAGCAUGCCACGGUGAAUACGUUCUCGGGUCUUGUACACACUGCCCGUCACGCCAUGGGAAUUGGCUUAACUCGAAGCUGGUGCGCUAACCGAAAGGAAAGCAAGCCAU